rnacentral:lncRNA from 1 species
GACUUGCCUAAGUGCAUCCCCAGAUGAGUUUGCUCCUUUUAAAAUGAUAUCAGAUAUAACGUGAAUUGGGGGCUGUGUGGAGGAGCUCUCGUUGCCUACAAACCUGCAUUUUGUGGACACUACCUCCGAUUUGCAUGUGUAGGCGUGUCGUAGUGCUUGCAAGAUCCCCAGCACACACAUACAAAAUUAUGUGCCCUCCUGUGACCGGGUUUUUGCAUUUUGCAGCCUGAAGGAGUGCAGCUGCAUUUGGAGAGCUGCAGCUUCGCACCGUGCCUGACACAAAGAAGAGCAGAGCCCUCCAUGCGCUUGGAAAUCGUUCAGUAACGAGAAGCUACCGACAGCGAUCGCUUCUCUUCCCAGACGUAGAGCUUCUCUUCUUUUUGUUCCGAAGUCAUGGCUCCCCAUCUUUACCUCCAAGGACAGCAACACCAAACCAGAAGCCCCAUGCGGGUGACACGCAGCCGCCUCGCAGAGCCUUAAUUUGUCUUCCAGCUGCUGAUGUCCAAGUAGCUGUGCCAUCUCCAGAGCAAAGGGCUUGUGCCAGGCUGGCUGCCCGCAGCUUCCCCUUGGAAAUCCCCCGUUUCUAACCUUGUAAGUAGCCCAGGAGGUAUGUGAGGCUGCUAAAAUUAAAAUGGGAACAGGGCGCAUGGUACGACAGCUGCGUGGCCUCUGAAUCAGUCAUUAAUCUAAGGGAAAAGCCCCGUGCCCCUGCCCCACAGCUGUUCCAGCAUGGGCAUGGCCCUCAAACACAGGGCUGUGGGUCCGUAGAGUGCUUUGUCCUGGUCUUUGCCCUGCCCCUUCCCCACAAUUUUGCUUGGUUGUCCCGUCUCCUUUCCCCUCGCAGUUCUGCAGGGCCAUGGCCCCAGGAGUGACCCCCUCUUUUAAGCAAUUCUGUGCUGAUCAAGGCUUUCCUUUGCUCCCAGCUCGUGCAAUUCUCUGCUGCCAGCUCUCAUGCCAGCCUCCUCCACAGCCAGCUGGGCCUGGUGGCACCAAGCAGAGUCCCAGCACCUAACCUGCCCUCCUGCUGCUCGGGAUUGUUGUGCCCAAUCC